AGCAGUGUAGCUCAGAGGUAGAGCACUUGCCUAGCAUGCAUGAAGCCCUGGGUUCAGUCUAUAGCACUGCAA
rnacentral:tRNA from 1 species